rnacentral:rRNA from 1 species
ACUCCUACGGGAGGCAGCAGUGGGGAAUAUUGCACAAUGGGCGCAAGCCUGAUGCAGCCAUGCCGCGUGUGUGAAGAAGGCCUUCGGGUUGUAAAGCACUUUCAGUAGGGAGGAAGGUAGUGUAGUUAAACACCUGNACNAUUUUGACGUUUACCUACAGAAGAAGCACCGGCUAACUCCGUGCCAGCAGCCGCGGUAAUACGGAGGGUGCGAGCGUUAAUCGGAAUUACUGGGCGUAAAGCGCAUGCAGGCGGCCUGUUAAGUCAGAUGUGAAAGCCGGCUAGCUACGAUGCAUUUGAAACUGGCAAGCUAGAGU